rnacentral:lncRNA from 1 species
AGUCUUUGGCCCCUCCCGCCGGGUGAGGUUGGCACCCCGUUUUUCCUGCUCUGAGAGGGACCGGUUGCCACCGCCAUACUUCUGUCGCCCUGUCGUCUGUGUUGUGACUGCUUUGGACGUGGGAGUCACCUGAAAGCCAGGAAAUGAAGUCUUCUGGGAGAGAGAGUUGAUGAAAAUACAGAAGAAAAUCAUUGUGGAGAAACUUCUAGCCAGAUUCCAGAUGACACACUGAACAAAAAAACUUCUCCUGGAGUAAAAUCAUGUGAAAGCAGUGUGUGUGGAGAAGUCUUCGUGGGUCAUUCUUCCCUUAAUAGGCACAUUAGAGCUGACACUGCACACAAGCCGUCUGAGUAUCAGGAAUAUGGACAGGAGCCAUAUAAGUGUCAACAACGUAAGAAAGCCUUCAGAUGUCACCCCUCCUUUCAAAUGCAAGAAAAGGCUCACACUGGAGAAAAACUCUAUGAUUGUAAAGAAUGUGGAAAAACCUUCAUAUCCCAUUCAAGCAUUCAAAGACACAUGAUAAUGCACAAUGGAGAUGGAACUUAUAAAUGUAAGUUUUGUGGGAAAGCCUGCCCUUGUCUCAGCAUAUAUCUUAUACAUGAACGAGUUCACACUGGAGAGAAACCAUAUAAAUGUAAACAAUGUGGUAAAGCCUUUAGUUAUUCAACUUCCCUUCAAAUACAUGAAAGAACUCACACUGGAGAGAAGCCUUAUGA